ACUCAAAUGAAUAGACGGGGACCCGCACAACCAGUGGAGCGUGUGGUUCAAUUCGAGACGAAACGAAGGACCUCACCAAGGUUUGACAUGCUAACGUCCUAUUUUUCAGAAAUGAGAGAAAUUCGUAAGAAGGUUAGCACAGGUGCUGCAUGGUUGUCGUCAGCUCGUGCCGUGAGGUGUUCCCUUAAGUGGGGAAACGAGCGCAACCCCCAUUCAAUGUUAAAUUAUUCAUUGAAAACUGAUCUGCCGUUAGGCAGGAAGGAAGGAGGGGAAGACGUCAAAUCAGCAUGGCCUUUAUACCUUGGGCCACACACACACUACAAUGGCGAAAAACAACGAGCAGCAAGCCGGCAACGGCAAGCAAAUCUCUUAAAUUUCGCCUCAGUUCAGAUUGGGGUCUGCAACUCGACCCCAUGAAGUCGGAAUUGGUAGUAAUCGCAGGUCAGAAAACUGCGGUGAAUACGUUCUCGGGUCUUGUACACACCGCCCGU
rnacentral:rRNA from 1 species